rnacentral:rRNA from 1 species
ACGCUCGACACCUACGGAGGCAGCAGUGGGGAAUAUUGCACAAUGGGGGAAACCCUGAUGCAGCGACGCCGCGUGGAGGAAGAAGGUCUUCGGAUUGUAAACUCCUGUUGUUGGGGAAAAANGGAUGGUACCCAACAAGGAAGUGACGGCUAACUACGUGCCAGCAGCCGCGGUAAUCUGAGCGGGCUGGCAAGGC